rnacentral:rRNA from 1 species
UACGUAGGGUGCAAGCGUUGUCCGGAAUUCUUGGGCGUAAAGAGCUCGUAGGCGGUUUGUUGCGUCGGCUGUGAAAUCCCGAGGCUCAACCUCGGGUCUGCAGUCGAUACGAGCAAACUAGAGUGUUGCAGGGGAGACUGGAAUUCCUGGUGUAGCGGUGAAAUGCGCAGAUAUCAGGAGGAACACCGGUGGCGAAGGCGGGUCUCUGGGCCGAUACUGACGCUGAGGAGCGAAAGCAUGGGGAGCGAACAGG